GACGAACGCUGGCGGCGUGCUUAACACAUGCAAGUCGAACGGAAAGGCCCUGCUUUUGUGGGGUGCUCGAGUGGCGAACGGGUGAGUAACACGUGAGUAACCUGCCCUUGACUUUGGGAUAACUUCAGGAAACUGGGGCUAAUACCGGAUAGGAGCUCCUGCUGCAUGGUGGGGGUUGGAAAGUUUCGGCGGUUGGGGAUGGACUCGCGGCUUAUCAGCUUGUUGGUGGGGUAGUGGCUUACCAAGGCUUUGACGGGUAGCCGGCCUGAGAGGGUGACCGGCCACAUUGGGACUGAGAUACGGCCCAGACUCCUACGGGAGGCAGCAGUGGGGAAUAUUGCACAAUGGGCGGAAGCCGGAUGCAGCAACGCCGCGUGCGGGAUGACGGCCUUCGGGGUGGAAACCGCUUUCGCCUGUGACGAAGCGUGAGUGACGGUAAUGGGUAAAGAAGCACCGGCUAACUACGUG
rnacentral:rRNA from 1 species